ensembl:snRNA U7 U7 small nuclear RNA
GGAUUUAUUUGCUCUUUUAGUAUUUGUCUAGUAGGUUUUCUCACUGAGAAAGCCCCC